CAAUUUUAUGAACACAUCAGAUUAGCACAACACGUAUUUAUGUUCCUGAACUAGAGCCAAUGAUUCCUUUCUUCCUCACGUGGCUUGCGCGAUCCCUAAGUGGCAUCUCUCCGAUGACAAGAGGAUGUUCUUGCAGAAGCCAGGAAAGUCCUGGAGGAGCAAUGGACCUCGUUCCCCUUGGUGAGCACAAGCCAGUGAGGACCCGACUCUCCAGGCUCCACCACCUUCUCGGCUGCAGAAUACUGACCUCCUCAUAUGGAAAAAUGAGCUCUGGUGGCCACCUCUCUGCACACUUCCCUCUCCAUCCUCCCAGUGUUAUGAUUUGGGGUAAAUUGAUAUUCAUGUGUACAUGUUUAAAACUAUAGAAACAUUGUUCUCUGCUAAACCAAGUGGUAGCCUAUUUCCUUUCUACUGUAAUCCAUUGUUUUUC